UAGAGUUUGAUCCUGGCUCAGGAUGAACGCUGGCGGCGUGCCUAAUACAUGCAAGUCGAACGCAUUGUGGUUGAAAUGAUAUGAAGAACUUGUUCAGAUUUGAUUUUCAACAUUGCAAUGAGUGGCGAACGGGUGAGUAACACGUGGGAAACCUACCUCUUAGCAGGGGAUAACAUUUGGAAACAAAUGCUAAUACCGUAUAAUAAUUAAAACCGCAUGGUUUUAGUUUAAAAGAUGGUCUUGCUAUCACUAAGAGAUGGUCCCGCGGUGUAUUAGUUAGUUGGUGAGGUAAUGGCUCACCAAGACAAUGAUACAUAGCCGAGUUGAGAGACUGACCGGCCACAAUGGGACUGAGACACGGCCCAUACUCCUACGGGAGGCAGCAGUAGGGAAUCUUCCACAAUGGACGAAAGUCUGAUGGAGCAACGCCGCGUGUGUGAUGAAGGGUUUCGGCUCGUAAAACACUGUUGUAAGAGAAGAAUGACAUUGAGAGUAACUGUUCAAUGUGUGACGGUAUCUUACCAGAAAGGAACGGCUAAAUACGUGCCAGCAGCCGCGGUAAUACGUAUGUUCCAAGCGUUAUCCGGAUUUAUUGGGCGUAAAGCGAGCGCAGACGGUUAUUUAAGUCUGAAGUGAAAGCCCUCGGCUCAACCGAGGAAUUGCUUUGGAAACUGGAUAACUUGAGUGCAGUAGAGGAAAGUGGAACUCCAUGUGUAGCGGUGAAAUGCGUAGAUAUAUGGAAGAACACCAGUGGCGAAGGCGGCUUUCUGGACUGUAACUGACGCUGAGGCGCGAAAGCAUGGGUAGCGAACAGGAUUAGAUACCCUGGUAGUCCAUGCCGUAAACGAUGAGUGCUAGGUGUUAGGGGGUCCAACCCUUAGUGCUGCAGUUAACGCAAUAAGCACUCCGCCUGGGGAGUACGGCCGCAUGGCUGAAACUCAAAGGAAUUGACGGGGGCCUGCACAAGCGGUGGAGCAUGUGGUUUAAUUCGACGCAACGCGAAGAACCUUACCAGGUCUUGACAUCUUCGGACAGCCCAAGAGAUUGGGUCUUCCCUUCGGGGACCGAAUGACAGGUGGUGCAUGGUUGUCGUCAGCUCGUGUCGUGAGAUGUUGGGUUAAGUCCCGUAACGAGCGCAACCCCUGAUCUUAGUUGCCAGCAUUAAGUUGGGCACUCUAGGAUGACUGCCGGUGACAAACCGGAGGAAGGCGGGGAUGACGUCAAAUCAUCAUGCCCCUUAUGACCUGGGCUACACACGUGCUACAAUGGAUGGUACAAAGGGAAGCUAAACCGCGAGGUCAAGCUAAUCCCAUAAAGCCAUUCUCAGUUCGGAUUGUAGGCUGCAACUCGCCUGCAUGAAGCCGGAAUCGCUAGUAAUCGCGGAUCAGAAUGCCGCGGUGAAUACGUUCCCAGGCCUUGUACACACCGCCCGUCACACCACGAGAGUUGGCAACACCCGAAGUCGGUGGGGUAACCUUUAUGGAGCCAGCCGCCGAAGGUGGGGCCAAUGAUUGGGGUGAAGUCGUAACAAGGUAACC
rnacentral:rRNA from 1 species